GAUAUCCUUAAUAUUGCAGUUAAUAUUAAAAGUUGAUGUGAUCAUGUGAAUGUAGAUGUUCACAAAGCCCCAUAUUAUUUCUAGAAUUUUCAUAAUUUGGAGAAUUCUUUUUAACUAUGUUCAUUAAAUUGAAACAGAAAAGAAGAAUCUCACUAAAUAUAUUUCUUGGAUUUUUUUUUUUAAUAUUAAUGUGGCUCCAAAUUAAUCCGGGUUCUGUGUUACCACCCUUCGCAACUCUUCACCGAAUUUGUAAUUUAGCAAAAUGGAGGAUGGAGUUCAAUUUGUGUCACUUUUGCGACCAACUCACAGAUUUGUUUAGCACUUAAAUUUGCAACCAGGACUAGACUGUAGGACAUCUUUUUAAAUUCUCUGGAAAUUAUUACUUUGUUUCUUUCUCAAGUGUUGUCUUAUUGCAGACUUACCGAGGCUUGUGCAAUGCCAGUAUAUUCAGUCAGAGUUGUGUCUAAAAUGAAGCUACAUUGUCUAGAUCAAUAUCUCUUUGGGAAAAUAAGCCCUUAAAGUGUAGUUGUUUGUUUUAGGCAUCCUUUUGGCUCCUGUUAUGUGUUAACAAAUCAAAAGCCUUAAAGUUAUUCUUAGACUUUGUUUGAAUGCAUUCAUGUAUUUUUUUUUUAAUCAAAGAUCAUUUUCCGAGCCUUUUAUUCCAUAUAGAUGAGGAAAUCUUAUUAAUGUUUCCA
rnacentral:misc_RNA from 1 species